rnacentral:rRNA from 1 species
UACGUAGGGGGCAAGCGUUGUCCGGAAUCAUUGGGCGUAAAGAGCGCGUAGGCGGCCCAGUAAGUCCGCUCUGAAAGUCAGGGGCUCAACCCCUGGAUGCGGGUGGAUACUGCUGGGCUAGAGUCCGGAAGAGGUGAGUGGAAUUCCUGGUGUAGAGGUGAAAUUCGUAGAUAUUGGGUGGAACACCGGUGGCGAAAGCGGCUCUCUGGUCCGGACCUGACGCUGAGGCGCGAAAGCGUGGGGAGCAAACAGG